rnacentral:rRNA from 1 species
GAUCCUGGCUCAGGAUAAACGCUGGCGGCGCACAUAAGACAUGCAAGUCGAACGAACUUAACCAUAAGUUUACUUUUGGAGCGGUUAGUGGCGGACUGGUGAGUAACACGUAAGCAACCUGCCUAUCAGAGGGGAACAACAGUUAGAAAUGACUGCUAAUACCGCAUAUGCCAUGAAUAUCACAUGAUAUAAAUGGGAAAGGAGCAAUCCGCUGAUAGAUGGGCUUGCGU